rnacentral:rRNA from 1 species
AGAACGAACGCUGGCGGCAGGCUUAACACAUGCAAGUCGAACGCUCCGCAAGGGGAGUGGCAGACGGGUGAGUAACGCGUGGGAACAUACCCCUCGGUUCGGAAUAACUCAGGGAAACUUGAGCUAAUACCGGAUACGGUCGAGAGGCGAAAGAUUUAUCGCCGAGGGAUUGGCCCGCGUCCGAUUAGCUAGUUGGUGAGGUAAUGGCUCACCAAGGCGACGAUCGGUAGCUGGUCUGAGAGGAUGAUCAGCCACAUUGGGACUGAGACACGGCCCAAACUCCUACGGGAGGCAGCAGUGGGGAAUAUUGGACAAUGGGCGAAAGCCUGAUCCAGCCAUGCCGCGUGAGUGAUGACGGCCUUAGGGUUGUAAAGGCUCUUUCGUCAGGGACGAUAAUGACGGUACCUGAAGAAGAAGCCCGGCUAACUUCGCGCCAGCAGCCGC